rnacentral:rRNA from 1 species
GACGAACGCUGGCGGCGUGCUUAACACAUGCAAGUCGAACGGUGAUGGCCAGCUUGCUGGUCUGAUCAGUGGCGAACGGGUGAGUAACACGUGAGCAACCUACCCCAGACUCUGGAAUAACCAUGGGAAACGAUGGCUAAUACCGGAUACGAGACGCACACGCAUGUGUGGUGUCUGGAAAGAUUUAUCGGUCUGGGAUGGGCUCGCGGCCUAUCAGCUUGUUGGUGGGGUAGUGGCCUACCAAGGCGACGACGGGUAGCCGGCCUGAGAGGGCGACCGGCCACACUGGGACUGAGAUACGGCCCAGACUCCUACGGGAGGCAGCAGUGGGGAAUAUUGCACAAUGGGCGCAAGCCUGAUGCAGCGACGCCGCGUGAGGGAUGACGGCCUUCGGGUUGUAAACCUCUUUCAGCAGUGAAGAAGCGAAAGUGACGGUACCUGCAGAAGAAGCGCCGGCUAACUACGUGC